rnacentral:rRNA from 1 species
UUCCGGUUGAUCCUGCCGGAAGCUACCGCUAUUGGAGUUCGAUUAAGCCAUGCGAGUCGCGAGUCUUAGGGACUCGGCGUACCGCUCAGUAACACGUGGGUAACCUGCCCUAUGCUGGGGGAUAACCUCGGGAAACUGAGAAUAAUGCCCCAUAGUUCACCACACCUGGAACGGUGGGUGGAUGAAAGCUCCGGCGGCAUAGGAUGGGCCUGCGGCGUAUCAGGUUGUAGGGGGUGUAAUGUACCCUCUAGCCAUCUACGCGUACGGGUGUUGAGAGACAUCGCCCGGAGAUGGAUUCUGAGACACGAAUCCAGACCCUACGGGGUGCAGCAGGCGCGAAAACUUGGCAAUGCGAGCAAUCGUGACCAGGGAACUCCAAGUGCAUCGGGUAAGACCGAUGCUUUUCUUGACUCUUCAAAGGUCUUGGAAUAAGGGGUGGGUAAGGACGGUGCCAGCCGCCGCGGUAAUACCGGCGCCUCAAGUGGUAGUCGCUUUUAUUGGGCCUAAAACGUCCGUAGCCGGUUUGGUACAUUCGUGGGUAAAUCAAGACGCUCAACGUCUUGAAUUCUGCGAGCACGGCCAGACUUGGGACCGGGUGAGGUGUGGGGUACUCUCAGGGUAGGGGUAAAAUCCUGUCAUCCUGAGAGGACCACCUGUUGCGAAGGCGCCACACUAGAACGGAUCCGACGGUCAGGGACGAAGCCUAGGGGCACGAACCGGAUUAGAUACCCGGGUAGUCCUAGGUGUAAACGCUGUGGACUUGAUGUUGGGAGUGCUCCGAGCACCCUCAGUGUCGAAGCGAAGGUGAUAAGUCCACUGCCUGGGGAGUACGGUCGCAAGGCUGAAACUUAAAGGAAUUGGCGGGGGAGCACUGCAACCUGAGGAUUGUGCGGUUUAAUUGGAUUCAACGCCGGG